GCCUGUUAUAGGUAUGAAGUAUUUACAUAGUAAAGAAUUAACAAGGAUUCAAAGAAAGUUACAGAGAUCUGCUUCGCAAGAUUUAAGAAUUCGAUGUUCCUACAAAUAUUUUCUCCUUCAUUUUAAACUAGGAGCUAUUUGUGAUAUUCUUUCAUCUUCCAGGAGUUCAUAUGGAUCGAUGUAUGGUGGCGGUGAGACAGUCGUCUUGCUUGCAUCAUGGACAAAAUUCGGUCCGAAAUAAAUGCAGAGAGCAGAAAAGAAUGUCGCAGUUAAGAGAAUCAAUGGCCAAAACCCCAAGAAGAAGGUUCCUCCAAUUGUAAGCAAAAGUUUAGCGCGAGGAAUUAAACCCUCAAGGCCUUCACUGUUCAAUGCCAUGGAACGCUCUCUCUGAUUAGAAAGGCUCUGAUCAAAUUCAGUUGAGACAACGUUUCUUUUA
rnacentral:misc_RNA from 1 species